rnacentral:tRNA from 1 species
GGGCGCGUAGCUCAGCGGGAGAGCGCCCCCCUGACACGGGGGAGGUCAGAGGUUCAAUCCCUCUCGCGCCCACCA